AUGCGCAGUGAGUGCCUCCCGUCUCUUCUACCCGAACCCCCCCUCCCCCCCCAAGCAGAGAGACCCCAGCAGCAGCAGCAGCUGAUGAUGAAGAGAGAGGCAGUGGCAGAGGGGGGGCACCUUUUAUUUCUAUUUUUAAAGGGACAGGACACUAAUUUUACCCCACUUCAACCUUGAAUUGAGGGGGGUGGGGGGAAGGCGGCUGAGUUCCUUCCCCCACCCUCCAGCCCUGAGACCUGAGAGGGGGAUUGAGCCUGAGAAAGAAGGAGAAGGAGUUUCUUCUUCUUCCAAACCCCCCCAUCCACGACUCCUACCCCCUCACCCCUCCACUAGCCUCCCUCCCGAGCCCUCUCCAUCCUCCUCCUCUUUGGCCGUGAGAGGAGAGAAAGAGACCAAAAGCCUCUUAGCAACACAGACCCUUCUCUGCUGCUGCUGCUGCUGCUGUUGCUGUUGCUGCUGCUGUUGCUGCUGCUGCUGCUGCUGCUACUGCUGCUUGGCCCUGGCUGGAGACAUCUCACUACACCCAGGAGCAGCCACUUCCCCAGCUCUCCUCCUCCUUCGCCUCCUCCUCCUCCUCCACUCCCCCCCUCUUUAUUACCCUUUGUGUCAUCCUCCACAGCUCCAGGGAAGGCACUCAAAAGUGGGGGGCAGGAAAGAUGCUUAUUGAGGAUAUCAUUUUCUGUGUGUGGAAAUUAGAUACUGAAGGUUACAUGGUUUACAGACAAGAUCUUUAAAAAGAGACAUUCAAGUUGAUUUACACUGAUCUGUCAAUUUCCACUCUUCAGCAAAGUGACCCAGUCAUAGGAAGCAAGGGUAGCAGCUAAGAGGACCAAGGAAAUAAAUACCAGAAACCAAGAGCACAGAGUAUUUUCCUUCAUCAAACCAUAGACUCUUCUCUAGUUUAAUCAAACACAAAAGAAUGACCACCUUGGCAAAUGGCCACAGAGGAUGUCAACAAUUUUUUGGAGGUAAGCAAUGAAAUUCUUGUGCUAUGAGUUUUCAAUUACCAAGUACAUGGUGACAAGUAGAAUUAUGUUUUAAUGAAAAAUAAGUGUUCUUUAAUAUAGCGGUUUAUAUAAGUACAGCUAUUGUCCCCUUCCUUUUUUUUUUUUCUUUGAGCACUAUUGCAUGUGAAAAAUUACAUUAAGCCAUUUUGCACUUACCUCGAGUACUGUAUAAGACUGAAUUAUAUCCCUAAAUACAAAAUAAAAAUUUAAAUAGCUGAAAUUCAGUACCCAUGCUUGAAAACAGGGCUGUUGGCAUUUAUCUUGGAUGCACAAAUCAUAUAACUAUAAAUACUAAAUAGUUUGGAAGUUAAAGUUAUCUUCUGUUUAUUUUAAAAUUAUCCAUACCAUAUAUGAAUUUUUUUUCAUUUAAUUCCUGCACUUUUUUGGCCUCAAACAUUUUCAAGCAAUUGUUCUAAAGGGCUCCAAAAUCCUUGAGAUGUCAUCCUUUACAUCCCUAUCAGCUUUAUUUUUUGUGAGGUUCCUGCAUCACAAGAUGCCAUUGAACUUUUAGUUAUUUUUACAGGAGCUCUUAAUACUCCUGGAAAAAUAGCUGGCCAAGGAUUGUGGACCACGGUGCCAUCUUCAAUAUGAAAAUUAAUUACAUUACCCUUUAGAGGAAGUUUGGUUGAAAAGAAAUUGAAAACUGCAUUAUAACAAAAAUAAUAUAAGGAAUUUGCCUUCUCUGCUUUCAUAAACAGUAUUUAAGUGGGUGAAUAUAAAAUGAAAUAAAAGUAAACUUAUGAAAACAUAAGUAGAAUGCAAGAAAAUUGAUUUUUUCCAACAUUUUAUAUGAACAAAGAAACUGUAGAUAUGUCAGAAUUUUUAAUUUAGUGUUAAUUCAACCCAUAGGCCUAAGGUCAUCCAGCAAACGAGCCCGCUUUUUAAGUUGUACAUAAAAGGACAUUUUCCAAGUGAAGGAGGCCAUAAAUGUUUAAAAAGCCCAGUGUAGAGCCUUCUGAGUUUUCUUUCGGUAACUAGAGACAAAAUUAAUUCUUGCUUUUCUGUUGAGGAAAAUUUCAUCUAAUUACAUUCAAAUUAUUCUGCAACUUUUUGGACAGCAAAGCCUGGUCACCAAAGAAAAGAAAAAGCAGCUGUGUUGCCCUUUCCUCAUAGUUAUAAGAAUAGUAUUAUUAUGCAGUCACUAGGCUUUAUAGAACCGUAAGUGUUUAUCCUCUGACUGCCUUCUGGUAGGUACAUACCUAAACCUUUCUGAACUGCUGAUAAAGUAAGCCUUCUGUUUUUAAGGCUCUUCAAAGAAAUAGAUUUCAUUGCUUCUUUUAGCAAACCAAUCUGGAAUAACAGCUCUCAGGAGUAGGGAAUUCUUUCUUAACCCUUUUAUUGAGUGAUUGUUUCUGAAAUUUCUUUUCUCAGAAUCAUGCUUUAAUCAUAAUUUAAAUCUCUUCUUAGUUUCAUGUAAUCUACUUAAGGUUUAAGAAAAUACUUAAAGUUGAUCGCUGCUAAAAUUAAUAGAAAUAAUUUCCAUAAACAAUACUUCUCCAUUAGCAGCCUAUUGUUAAAUUUCUUCCUCUAAUAUUUCGAUUUUGAUCUUAUCUAGUGUCACAUCUUAUUUUGAUCUUAAGUUAUUCUUUAACCACAGAAACAUAUCUUGUGUCAGAUAAUUGUAAUUUCUCUUUCUUCCACACACAUUAUGUUAAGAACCAGCCCUUUGUUCUCUUUGAAUUGCAUUCUAUUUAUGACCAUGUCAUUAAUAAUUCUAAUCAAAAGUGCUGGUGAUUUCAUUUUCUUCUCAUAUUUUAAGGUCGAUUUGUAAAUUAUGAUUUAAAAAAAUUUUGAUAGUUAGAAAGGCAAUUAGAACAUCGUGGGUAUGACUAUAAGCUUGCUAUACAAGAACACAAAUUCAUAGAACAGAUUAAGACUGACUGAUUAACCACACCUGUGCCACUCCCACCAGCUGUGUUAUCUUGGGUAAAUUACUGAUUCUCUUUGUCCCCCAAUUUGUAUAUCUUUAAAAUUUGAUAAUUAUAGCAUUGUAAGGAUUAAAUGGGAUGGAUAAUAUAAGUAAAAGCUUAGCUACUUAGCAGUUGGGUGGCAUAUAAUUCAAUAAAUAGGUGAUGUAAUUAUUAUACUUUCUGCAAAAGCAAUAAUGAAUUUGUCCAUUAUAUUCAUACCAGAUUUAUUUUACAUCAUGUUUCUGGUACUGCUACUAAGUUUUUUUUUCACAUUGAAUUUCCUCAAUGAGCAUUUUAAAUUUUAUGUUCAAGCAUGUAAAAAUGCAGUUUAUGCAGAAAUCGCUGGUAAAACAAACAAACAAAUAAAAACAUGGUUGUUUAAAAAAAAUGGCUGGUAGCCUUUUAGUCUCAUGAAAACUAUGUAUAUUACAAAUUUUGCAGGAGGUUUUACUGGAUGUUCCUGAUUUAUUGCCUGUUCUAAAAUUUUAACUUUAUUUGAACAACUAUUACUUGGAGAAAUAUUCCAUUCACAAUGCAGAGUGAUCUAAAAAAUCUUCUUUGGAUUAAAUAUCUUUUAUGGAUACUUUGAUCAAAUCUUUAAUUAGUCUGAGACGAUGGUUUAAAAUUUCAUUAGAGGAGUUCUCUUGUGGCACAGUGGGUUAAGGAUUUGGCAUUGUCACUGCAGCAGUUUGGGUCACUACUGUGACAUAGGUUUGAUCCCUGUCCCAGGGAACCUCCAAAUGCCUCAAGCACAGCCAAAGAAAAAAAA
rnacentral:lncRNA from 1 species